AGUGAACGCUGGCGGUAGGCCUAACACAUGCAAGUCGAACGGCAGCACAGUAAGAGCUUGCUCUUACGGGUGGCGAGUGGCAGACGAGUGAGGAAUACAUCGGAAUCUACUUUUUCGUGGGGGAUAACGUAGGGAAACUUACGCUAAUACCGCAUACGACCUACGGGUGAAAUCAAAGGAACUACGGACCUUGCGCGAUUGACUUCGCCGAUGUCGGAUUAGAUAGUUGGCGGGGUAAAGGCCCACCAAGGCGACGCUCCGUAGCUGGUCUGAGAGGAUGAGCAGCCACACCGGAACUGAGACACGGCCCAGACUCCUACGGGAGGCAGCAGAGGGGAAUAUUGGACUAUGGGCGGAAGCCUGGUCUGACCAUACCGCGUGGGUUAAGAAAGCCUUCGGGUUGUAAAGCCCUUCUGUUGGGAAAGAAAAGCAGCAGCUUAAUACCCCGCUGUUCUGACGGUACCCAAAGAAUAAGCACCGGCUAACUUCGUG
rnacentral:rRNA from 1 species